ACCAAUCAGAUGACUUAAGCAAAAUCUCCUAAUUUUAAGGGGCUAGGGAUGACUCUUCGUAAUCCUUCUGCAUAAUGGUUUGGAAAUUCAGUUACCUAGUAAUUUUGAGAAAUCUUAUGUAGAAGUCAGACAGUGUUCUGAUUUAGUCUGUGCCAUUGCCAGCUAAAGUGCAUUGAACUGGCAUUCAGAAGUUUAUCUCCACAUGCACACAGUUGCUGGAGGCCUAUGCUUUUAAGGUUCUCAAAACAACAGUUUAAAGGGUUUGGUUUUGUAAAAAUAUAUACAGGUAUUAUGAAAUUUAAAUGGUUCAUUUACUAGGAACCACAUUUCUAUGUAUGUUCCAGUCUUUGUAGCGGAAGAGAUUCUGUGGGAUAAAUGUGUACAGAUAUGUAAUUAGAUAUAUGCACAUAAUGUAGGCCUGUUAAUUUUAUGUGAACCUUUGAAAAAAUGCAAUAUGUCCUUUUUUUUCAAGUCACAGGUAUGAGCCCAGCACUCCUUUGUAAUAGCUAUAAAUUUACAUUAUACUAAAGGUUUGCUGAACACACAAUAUAGCAAAGAAAUGCUGGAUCUUAAUGGAAAUUACAUGUCACUACACUGUAGUAUCACUGUAGCUGAUCUGCCAUGCUGUCACUAUGAAUUACUAGUCUCAACUGUACUAGCUAGAAUGCACAUUUAUAUACAUACACUUUAGUCAUAUUUAUAUUAAAUAUGUAUCUCAUCAGUUACCAUAAUAAUUACAUUUCAGGAUGUAAUUACAUUUCAGUAUCUCAAGCAUUCAAGGAAAAGAAUAUACAAGGACUAUGCAAAUCCUGAAACAAAGUUUCCUGUUUAUCAAGAAGAACCAAAAAACUUCUUUCUGGAGAGUGUGUUGGGAGGGCAGGCUGCUGUCAUUUUUCUCAAAAGCUGUGACAUACUACAUACAUACAUUGUACUGUGUGUGCAUAUAAACACACAUAUGGAGCACUGCAUAACAGUAGCCCUGGAAGUCUAUAACUGUUUAAUUCCAUUUUUUUUUUUAAUCUGGAAAAUAAUGAGAAAUAUUCUGUAGAAUUUUUUUUUUCAAAUUCAGUUGCAAUAAUAUUGCAUAAUAUAAUAGUAAUUACAAUAUUGGUAGUCAUUAAGGAAGUUUGACAUAGGAUUUAAUCAGUGACAAAAAACUUAGGUUGGCAGAAAUGCUGCAGACUAUCGGAAUACUUUGUACCUUGGGGUUGGUCUAAUGUGUAUAUUAUCUUGAAUUGUCUCUCAAUU